rnacentral:rRNA from 1 species
AUUGAACGCUGGCGGCAGGCCUAACACAUGCAAGUCGAACGAGUGGCGGACGGGUGAGUAAUGUCUGGGAAACUGCCUGCUGGAGGGGGAUAACUGCUGGCAACGGUAGCUAAUACCGCAUACCAUCAGAUGUGCUCAGAUGGGUUUAGCUUGUUGGUGGGGUAACGGCUCACCAAGGCUACGAUCCCUAGCUGGUCUGAGAGGAUGACCAGACCCACUGGAACUGGGAUACGGGCCAGACUCCUACGGGAGGCAGCAGGGGGGAAUAUUGCACGAUGGGAGCAAGCCUGAUGCAGCCAUGCCGCGUGUAUGAAGAAGGCCUUCGGGUUGUAAAGUACUUUCAGCGGGGAGGCGUUACCCGCAGAAGAAGCACCGGCUAACUCCGUGCCAGCAGCCGCGGUAAUAC